UUUGAUCAGAAGUGAGAAUGUUGACAUGAGUAGCGACAAACAGGGUGAGAGACCCUGUCGCCGAAAGUCCAAGGGUUCCUGCUUAAAGCUAAUCUGAGCAGGGUAAGCCGGCCCCUAAGGCGAGGCAGAAAUGCGUAGUCGAUGGGAACCACGUUAAUAUUCGUGGGCCAGGAGGAUGUGACGGAUCUCGACGGUAGUUUGCUCUUAUUGGAUUGGGUGGGCUGCUUAGAGGUUCCUGGAAAUAGCCCUCCAUCAGACCGUACCCUAAACCGACACAGGUGGACUGGUAGAGAAUACCAAGGCGCUUGAGAGAACCACAUUUAAGGAACUCGGCAAAAUGCCUCCGUAAGUUCGCGAGAAGGAGGCCCGGUCGGCAGGCAACUGUUGGCCGGGGGCACAAACUAGGGGGUGGCGACUGUUUACUUAAAACACAGGGCUGUGCGAAGUCGCAAGACGACGUAUACAGUCUGACGCCUGCCCGGUGCUGGAAGGUUAAAAGGAGGGGUGCAAGCUCCGAAUUGAAGCCCCAGUAAACGGCGGCCGUAACAAUAACGGUCCUAAGGUAGCGAAAUUCCUUGUCGGGUAAGUUCCGACCUGCACGAAUGGCGUAACGAUCUCCCCGCUGUCUCAAAUGUGGACUCAGCGAAAUUGAACUGUGUGUCAAGAUGCACACUACCCGCGGUUAGACGGAAAGACCCCAUGCACCUUUACUAUAGCUUCGCACUGGCAUCAGGAUUGAGAUGUGCAGGAUAGGUGGUAGGCUUUGAAGCCGGGACGCUAGUCUCGGUGGAGCCUCCCUUGAGAUACCACCCUUCUUACUCUUGAUGUCUAACCGCGGCCCGUUAUCCGGGUCCGGGACCCUGCGUGGUGGGUAGUUUGACUGGGGCGGUCGCCUCCUAAAGAGUAACGGAGGCGCGCGAAGGUUGGCUCAGAGCGGUCGGAAAUCGCUCGUUGAGUGCAAUGGCAUAAGCCAGCCUGACUGCAAGACUGACAAGUCGAGCAGAGUCGAAAGACGGCCAUAGUGAUCCGGUGGUCCCAAGUGGGAGGGCCAUCGCUCAACGGAUAAAAGGUACGCUGGGGAUAACAGGCUGAUGGUGCCCAAGAGUCCAUAUCGACGGCACCGUUUGGCACCUCGAUGUCGGCUCAUCUCAUCCUGGGGCUGGAGCAGGUCCCAAGGGUACGGCUGUUCGCCGUUUAAAGAGGUACGUGAGCUGGGUUUAGAACGUCGUGAGACAGUUCGGUCCCUAUCUGCCGUGGGUGUAGGAGAUUUGAGAAGAGUUGCCCCUAGUACGAGAGGACCGGGGUGAACGUUCCACUGGUGGACCAGUUGUCGUGCCAACGGCAGUGCUGGGUAGCUAUGAACGGACAGGAUAACCGCUGAAGGCAUCUAAGCGGGAAGCCCCCUUCAAAACUAGAUCUCCCUUGAGAGCCGUGGAAGACCACCACGUCGAUAGGCCAGAGAUGUAAGUGCGGUAACGCAUUCAGUUGAC
rnacentral:rRNA from 1 species